CUGUAAACACAGACACUCUCACUAUCAGAGCAGUAACUACAUCUGAUGAGGGUCAGUACACGUGUAGAGGACAGAGAGAUAAAAGACCAAACUCAUCACAGGAGAGUGAACCAAUAAAUCUGUCUGUUAAUGGGUCAUGUUCAGAUCAGAUUUCUGUCAUCAUCAUCCUCAGUUUUCUUCUGACAGCUUGUCCGUAUCUGCUGGCGACAGUCGUGCUGCUUUACAAAUGCUACAGAGCGAGAGUUAAAUCUCCUGAAGCCCAAAGGCAGUCGCUGUAACAGAGGAAUAAUCAUCUCUUCUCCAAAGCUCAGAGUCACAGGAUGCUGGAGUCUCAGGCUGAAGGCUGGAAACACACUGGACACGAGUCCAUCACAAGACUAACACACACACAUUCACACUCUCACUCAAUCCAGUGUCUCUGAUUCACCUGCGCUGUAGAUUAGAUUGUGAACACAACACAUGGAGAACAAGAGAACUAACUCCACACAGAAAGAGCUCCUGCUCAUCAUCGACUCCAAAACCAGUUUCUUCAUGUGUGUCAGAUUCACUGGAAGCUACUGAAAGUUACCCUUUAAAUACCACAAACAACAAUUAUAAUCUCAAAUUACAUCUGAACAACAUGCUGUUUUUAUGAUGCUAGAUGCUUUCUGUCGUCGGAGUAAAAGGAGUUUGAGUCUAAUUCUAGAAAUGUCUCUUUGCUGUUAAAUCUUUACUGAAUUUAAGGUAAAAGUAACUUUUACAGUGUUAGUAAUAUUUCAAGUCAAACACUUACUGGACUGAAGCAGCUUAUAUUUACCUGAUUAUCCAAACAUAACUGUAUUUGUUCUUCGCUCAGUUAUCAUUGUGUUGUAUUAUAUUUUCAACAUUAUAAGUAUUUGAAUAUCAUUUAUGUAAAUAUUCUGUUCUAAAGAUCUCAUUGAUUUACA